UGUGAUCUCUCAGCCACCGCAGCCUGAGCAGACAUUAAUAUCACAAAAAAGACUAAAAUCUGGGAUCUGAUUCGACCUAUUUUUUUUUUCAUUUUCUCUCUAAUCUUCAACAUUCUUAUUCCCCUUUCUCUUUGAAUUUGUGUUCUUCCUCUCUUUUCUCUCUUCAAAUAUAUCAGCCACUCUCGCUCCCUUCUCUCAUCAACACCAAUCUUUGUUAGAACCUUAAACUCUCGCAUAUGCUGUCUCGUGAAUCUCAUAGUCAUGGGACAAACUUCGCCGCCGAGAAAGGAAUUCCCCAAAUUCGAAACCAUACUUCUCCUCCGAAGAAAUCCUCAAGGGAUUUGAGAAACCAAUAUCGUUUAGGUUACUGGCGGCUAAAGUAAUGGAUCUGGAGAAAGCAGGUAUGAUGUAUUUUAUCUCAAGUGGAUAUGACGAUCCUUGUUAAAUGUUCGUCCUUAGAAGGAUACUCAAAAAGGAAUAGUUGAAGCAUUAUAAUGGCGACGAGAGAGAAAACAAGUCUCUGAGAGGUAUGUACUCAAUCGUUGCCAAACCUUCUUAAAAAGGUAACAACAUAAACUGGUUCUAAUGAUUUGAUCGAUGAAUUUGCUUCUUUUUUUUAAAGUUGUUAUUGUUGUUGUUGUUGGUUUUGAUUACAACUAUAAUUUUUAAGGUUUAAUUAUUUUGUGAAUCAGAUCAAAGAAGGAGAUCAAAGGUAGAGACCAUAUGUGUACAACUAAUUCCAUUGAAUGACACCAUUCCUUCACUUAUGUCUGAUUUUGGUGUUAUUAUAUGUUCUUUGUGUUGCUUUUACUUUGUAACCCUAGUACGACGUCUUCAGAUCUGGAAGUGAUGACAACGAAGGAAUCUCCAUUGAAGAUCAAUACGCCGCCGAUAAGCCUCCAAGGUCCAAUCGAACCAGGCUUGAACCAAAAUUUGAACAAUUAGAGAAGUAAACCGGGUUUAGUCAGCUGGUAAACCGUUAUGACUUUUGUUUAGGCAGACGAAGUUAGAGGGAGAAUCUUAACGCUUUUGUUUUUGCGGGGUUGUUUUGUAAACUUUAAGUUUUAUUUGAGGGUUGGGGCAUAAUAUGUAAAUACGGUUUAACAAUUUAUUUUCUCGUUUUAUCGCAUUAAUUAUGAAGUCUCUAUCUCUCUCUUAA